rnacentral:lncRNA from 1 species
GAAAGGGGGUUCGACCACAAAGUUAAGAGAAAAGAGAAAAUCAAAUGAGUGGAGGAGGAAGGGUUUCCCGUUAUGGUUCGCGGCGGUUCACGAUGGCGAUGGUGGUGGUGAGGGUCGGUGACCGAAAGAAAAAAGGAGAAGAGAUUAUUGGGUGGUGGAGUCGUGGUGGUGAAACUAUAGCCCGCAGUGGAGGAAUUUUAGGUGAUGGUUGUUUCUCAAAUGGAGAGAAAAUAGAGAUGAAAGAAAAUUGAAAAAAAUAGAGAAUAUGGGAGAAAUGAGAGAGGUAAGGACAGAAAUGGGUGUGUGUAGCUUGGUCAACUAUGAUCAGGUUCAAUGAAUCAAAUCAAAUACGCAAGAU